rnacentral:lncRNA from 1 species
CUCAAACUCCGUUUUUUGCCUUUUGGUGUGACCAGAUGCCUGGAGGGUGUGGAGAUGGGUAUUUCCCUUUCCUCAGGUAGAUUAGGCUCCGGUAAAACUUCAGAGGUGAGAUUCUGCCUGAAUAAUUUCUCCUAAGGACAGAUCUUGUUAACAAGAACGGAAUGCUCUGGUAUAUUUCAAGAUGGUUCUUCUCUCCUCCUACCCCAUGUCCCCUUUGACUAGAAGCAAGAUGGGUUUUUUAACUCUGAUAUUCACUGUGAGAUAAAGCUCCUGGAGGUGAAACUUACAAAAAAAGUGGGGUCACUGUGACUGGGUCCACCGGAAGAUUUUAACUCUCAAGAAUUGCCUACACUGAGCUUCAAGCAAUUUGUCAAUUACAGUUCAGGUUUUCCUACCCAGCACUGGUUCCGGAGGAGGUUGCAAGUUGUCUGAGUUUCUGCUCUAAUGUGGCAUCUUAUUUUCUUCAGCAUCCACCUGUCUAUCUUGAUUUGUCCAGGCUUUCCUAAUGCAUUAGUGCUUCAGUCCGUUCUCCAGGUUGAGAUAGCAAUCCCUCAUAUCACUUUGGAAUAAGUUGCUUUGUACGUUUCAUGAAGAAAGAAGCUCUGCUUGUCUCAUUUAUUGCUGCAUCUUCCUUGCAGUGCAAUUUGAGGAAAACAAGAAGGCAGAUGUUUUGCCAUUGAGCCAGAAUUAAGAAUGUUGAACCUGAUGCCUAGACUCAGCAUUACUAAGCAAAUUUUGUGACAUAUAUGCUCCAGAUGUGGAUCUGUGGUCAUUCCUCACCUCUGUCUCGUAGCAGUUGUGUCAAUUUGAUCUCAUCCUUCACCAUCCUAAAUCUCAGUUUACUUGCCUCUAAAAUGGAAAUGUACAACUUUGCAUACCUAUCACACACUAUCACCCCAGUGCCACAGGAGAAAUAAGCUAUUUUUGCUCAACUUUUUAUCUGCUUGACCCUCGACCCUGGCCAUUAUGUCUUGGUAAACUGCUUGGCAUUUUUCAACCCAUCUCAGAGUUUUCCCUUUGGAAACAUUUUUAGGCCCUAUUUGGCAGAAGUUGUUGCUCCUGUGUAUAUAAUACCAUAACCACUGUAACAGAAUGGGGAGGUAGAAUUGGAUAUUAACACAUCUUUGGAGAGCUUGUUGUGUGCUAGGUAUUGUGCAAAUGAUAUUCACACAUUUUCUCAAUUAAUACCAAAACUUUAAGUAGGUGAUGAUAUCUCCUAUUAUCCAAAUGAGAAAAUAGCCUCUGGUGGUUAAAGUGAUAGAGCUAGUGAUCAGGAGAGUUCACAUUACUCUUUAUUUCAGACGCCAGAGACUAUUCUCUUUACACUAAAUAGCAUUCAGUGUGUUGCUUCAUUCUUUUUUUACUCCAAAUUAAAUAUCCUUCUUGAUUUUUUUUAAGAUUUCAUAUAUAUGGCAUUCCUUUUUAAAUAGCUCAACUGAGAUAUAAUUUAUGUAACAUACAAUUCUCUAAAGUAUGCAUUUAAAGGUUUUUAUUACAUAUACAGAUAUGUGAAAAAUAACUACAGUCAUUUAAAGAACAUUUUCAUCAAGUCAAAAAGAACUUUUUAGCUAUCACCUUUUAGUUAUCAAUCUUCUCCCAGACUGAUAUGGUUUGGCUGUAUCGCCACCCAAAAUCUCAUCUUGAAUUGUAAUAAUUCCCAUGUGUCAAGGGCAGGACCAGGUGGAGAUAAUUGAAUCAUGGGGGUGGUUUCCAGUUUCCCCAUACUAUUCUCAUGAUAGUGAGUGAGUUCUCAUGAAAUCUGAUAGUUUAAUAGGGACUUUCCCUCCACUUCACUCUCAUUCUUCUCCUUGCUGCCACCUUGUGAAGGACGUGUUUGCUUCCCCUUCUCCCGUGGCUGUGUUUCCUGAGGCCUUCCCAGCCAUGCUGAACUGUGAGUCAAUUAAACUUCUUUCCUUUAUAAAUCACCCAGCCUUCGGUAUGUCUUUAUUAGCAGGAUGAAAACGGACUACUACACAGAUCUGAGUAACCACUAAUCAAUUUUUUAUGUUUGUAGAUUUCCCUCUUCUGGAAAUUCAUAUGAAUGAAAUUAUAUAAUAGAUUAUAUCAUAUGUGGACUUUUCUGACUGGCUUCUUUUACUUAGCAUAAUGUUUUCAGGGUUCAUCCAAGUUGCAGCACGUGUAAGUACUCCAUUCCUUUCAAUGCCUGAAUACGACUUCAUUUUACUGAUGUACCUCAUUUUGUUUACACAUUCAUCAGUUGAUGGGCAUCUGGCCUCUUUCUAGCUUUUGGUUAUUAUGAAUAAUGCUCCUAUAAACAUUAAUAUGCAAGUUUUUGUGUAUACAUAUGUUUUCAUUUCUUUUUGGUAUAUACCUAGGAAUUAAACUGUUGGGUCAUAAGGUAACUUUGUUUAGUCAUUUGAAGAACUCCCAGACUAUUUUCUAGUGUAUGCACCAUUUUACAUUCCCCCCAGCAGUUCUGAUUUCUCCACAUUGUUGCCAACACUUGUUAUUAUCUGACUUUUUAAUCCUAGCCAUCCUAAUGGGUUUGAAAAGUUACCUCAUUGUGGUUUUAAUUUUCAUUUCCCUGAUGACUAAUGAUGUUGAAGUUCUUUUCUUGUGCUUAUUGACCAUUCAUACAUCUACUUGGAGAAAUGUUUAUUCAUAUUCUUUAUCCAGUUUUAAGUUGGAUUAUUUGUCCUUUCAUUUUUCUUGAUAAUUAUUUUAAAUCAGAAAAUUUUUUAAUUUUUAUUGUUAAAGUAUUCAUCUCUUUGGCUCUACACUUUCCUCUUUCCCUAUAUUGAUAAAAGAAACUCAUGAAGUUCAGUGCUGGCACAUUACUGACAAGUGGAUUCUCAUAAAGUUUCUUUGUAUAAUUUUAUAUAUUUUUUACAAUUUUAUUAAACUGAACUAGACAAAUUUUCAUGGUUGCUGGGAGGAUCCUGUAGGAUAAUUUAGGUCAAUGAGGUUUGGGGCAACUAAAGUGCUAUGCAAACACCUAGGGCCACAUGUUAUCUUCUAAGUUCACCGGAAUAAAGAGGAUUUCCAAGGGUCUGAGGUGAUGCAUGAAGAGGGCUUUCAUUUUUUAAUUUUAAUUUUGUCGCUUUGCUAGAAGUUUUAUUAUGAAAUAGUGUUGAAUAAUAUCAGUCUGUUUCUGCAUCUAUGAAGAUGGUUCUAUUUAUUUCUCCUUUAAUCUGUUAAUGUGGUGAAUUCAACUGAUUGCUUUUCUUUUUUUAUUAUUAUUAUAAUAAGUUUUAGGGUACAUGUGCACAAUGUGCAGGUUAGUUACAUAUGUAUACAUGUGCCAUGCUGGUGUGCUGCACCUAUUAACUCAUCAUUUAGCAUUAGGUAUAUCUCCUUAUGCUAUCCCUCUCUCCUCCCCCCACUCCACAACAGUCCCCAGAGUGUGAUGUUCCCCUUCCUGUGUCCAUGUGUUCUCAUUGUUCAAUUCCCACCUAUGAGUGAGAACAU